rnacentral:ncRNA from 1 species
AAUUGCCAAGGUCGGAAAUGGUUCCCGACACACUCCGAAAAGAGUAUCUGAGAUGAUGGAUACACCGCCCAUCUGGUGAUU